rnacentral:rRNA from 1 species
AGGACGAACGCUGGCGGCGUGCCUAACACAUGCAAGUCGAACGAGGUCCAACCGGUGGCAACACUGGUGAAGACCGAGUGGCGAACGGGUGAGUAACACGUGAGCAACCUGCCUCGAAGACUGGGAUAACCCCGGGAAACCGGAGCUAAUACCGGAUACCCCCACCGGGUCGCAUGGCCUGGUGAGGAAAUGGAUUCCGCUUUGAGAGGGGCUCGCGGCCUAUCAGCUUGAUGGUGGGGUAAUGGCCUACCAUGGCACCGACGGGUAGCUGGUCUGAGAGGACGAUCAGCCACACUGGGACUGAGACACGGCCCAGACUCCUACGGGAGGCAGCAGUGGGGAAUCUUGCGCAAUGGGCGAAAGCCUGACGCAGCAACGCCGCGUGUGGGACGAAGGCCUUCUGGGUUGUAAACCACUUUCAGCAGGGACGAUUGUGACGGUACCUGCAGAAGAAGCCCGGCAACUGCGUGCCAGCAGCCGC